CUUACUACAUGGAUAACCGUAGUAAUUCUAGAGCUAAUACAUGCGAAAAGUCCCGACUUCGGAAGGGAUGUAUUUAUUAGAUUAAAAGCCAAUGCGUUUCACGACGCUUUUCGGUGAUUCAUAAUAACUGUUCGAAUCGCACGGCCCUCGUGCCGGCGAUGUUUCAUUCGAGUUUCUGCCCUAUCAACUUUCGAUGGUAAGGUAUUGGCUUACCAUGGUUACAACGGGUAACGGAGAAUUAGGGUUCGAUUCCGGAGAGGGAGCCCGAGAAACGGCUACCACAUCCAAGGAAGGCAGCAGGCGCGCAAAUUACCCAAUCCCGACUCGGGGAGGUAGUGACAAUAAAUAACGUUGCAGGCGCCAAUGGCUUCUGCAGUCGGAAUGAGUACAAUAUAACACCCUUAACGAGGAACAAUUGGAGGGCAAGUCUGGUGCCAGCAGCCGCGGUAAUUCCAGCUCCAAUAGCGUAUAUUAAAGUUGUUGCAGUUAAAAAGCUCGUAGUUGGAUUUCGGAACUGGCCGAUUGGUCCAUCCUCUGGAUUGCGUACUGAUCGGUCUGUUCUUCUUCGCGAAGACCACGUGUGUCCUUAACUGGGUGGGCGUGGGAUUCGCGACGUUUACUUUGAAAAAAUUAGAGUGUUCAAAGCAGGCAUUCGCUUGAAUAUCUCAGCAUGGAAUAAUAGAAUAGGACUUUGGUCUUAUUUUGUUGGUUUCCGAGACCGAAGUAAUGAUUAAUAGGGACAGUUGGGGGCAUUCGUAUUUCAUUGUCAGAGGUGAAAUUCUUGGAUUUAUGAAAGACGAACUUCUGCGAAAGCAUUUGCCAAGGAUGUUUUCAUUUAAUCAAGAACGAAAGUUGGAGGCUCGAAGACGAUCAGAUACCGUCCUAGUUCCAACCAUAAACGAUGCCA
rnacentral:rRNA from 1 species